rnacentral:rRNA from 1 species
UACGUAGGGUGCAAGCGUUGUCCGGAAUUAUUGGGCGUAAAGAGCUCGUAGGCGGUUUGUCGCGUCUGCUGUGAAAACCCGAGGCUCAACUCCGGGCCUGCAGUCGAUACGGGCAGACUGGAGUUCGGCAGGGGGAGACUGGAAUUCCUGGUGUAGCGGUGAAAUGCGCAGAUAUCAGGAGGAACACCGGUGGCGAAGGCGGGUCUCUGGGCCGA